UACAGAGGUCCCGGAGCGUUAUCCGGAUUCACUGGGUUUAAAGGGUGCGUAGGUGGGUUGGUAAGUCAGUGGUGAAAUCCCCGAGCUUAACUUGGGAACUGCCAUUGAUACUAUCAGUCUUGAAUACCGUGGAGGUCAGCGGAAUAUGUCAUGUAGCGGUGAAAUGCUUAGAGUAUGACAUAGAACACCAAUUGCGAAGGCAGCUGGCUACACGAAUAUUGACACUCAGGCACGAAAGCGUGGGGAUCAAAACAGG
rnacentral:rRNA from 1 species